AUGGUUUGAUGAGAGCUACUGAUGUCAUGAUUGCCGGCAAGGUUGCUGUUGUCUGUGGUUAUGGUGAUGUUGGCAAGGGCUGUGCUGCUGCCAUGAAGCAAGCUGGAGCUCGUGUGAUUGUGACCGAGAUUGAUCCCAUUUGCGCGCUUCAGGCUCUCAUGGAGGGUCUACAGGUCCUGACUCUUGAAGAUGUUAUCUCCGAGGCUGAUAUCUUUGUCACCACCACUGGUAACAAGGACAUUAUCAUGGUUGAUCACAUGAGGAAGAUGAAGAACAAUGCCAUUGUCUGCAACAUCGGUCACUUCGAUAAUGAAAUCGACAUGCUUGGACUUGAGACCUUCCCUGGCGUGAAGCGCAUCACCAUCAAGCCCCAAACUGACAGGUGGGUCUUCCCUGACACCAACUCCGGCAUCAUUGUCCUGGCUGAGGGACGUCUCAUGAACCUGGGAUGUGCCACCGGUCACCCCAGCUUUGUGAUGUCCUGCUCAUUCACCAACCAGGUGAUCGCCCAGCUUGAGCUGUGGAACGAGAGGAAAACCGGCAAGUACGAGAGGAAGGUCUAUGUCUUGCCCAAGCACCUUGAUGAGAAGGUUGCUUCCCUUCACCUUGGCAAGCUAGGAGCUAGGCUUACCAAGCUCUCCAAGGACCAGGCUGACUACAUCAACGUGCCAAUCGAGGGUCCAUACAAGCCUGCUCAGUACAGGUACUGAGAGAUGGAACUUGAGGCAAAACGUGAUUGGAAACGGCGCUAUUGUUUCUUUUGUAUUUUCAUGAU
rnacentral:lncRNA from 1 species